GUGAACGCUGGCGGUGCGCCUAACACAUGCAAGUCGAACGGGUUUAGACCCGUGGCAGACGGCUGCGUAACACGUUGGUACGUCCCCCGAACUCAGGCAUAUCCCCGCGAAAGCGGGAGUAAUACCGGAUGAUCCCGCAAGGGUAAAGAUUUUUCGGUUCGGGAGCGGCCUGCGGCCUAUCAGGUUGUUGGUAAGGUAACGGCUUACCAAGCCUAUGACGGGUAGCUGAUCUGAGAGGAUGAUCAGCCAGAAUGGAACUGAGACACGGUCCAUACUCCUACGGGAGGCAGCAGUGAGGAAUCUUCCGCAAUGGGCGAAAGCCUGACGGAGCGACACCGCGUGAAGGAUGAAGCCCUUUUUGGGCGUAAACUUCUGUUGUGAGGGACGAAAUUUUUGACGGUACCUCACGAGAAAGCAUCGGCUAACCCUGU
rnacentral:rRNA from 1 species